GACGAACGCUGGCGGCGUGCUUAACACAUGCAAGUCGGACGAAGUGGCGAACGGGUGAGUAAUACGUGGGUAACCUGCCCUCCUUUUUGGGAUAAGCCUUGGAAACGGGGUCUCAUACCGAAUAAAGGGGGAUGGGCUCGGGGCCUAUCAGCGUGUUGGUGGGUUGAUGGCCUACCAAGGCGGUGACGGGUAGCCGGUCUGAGAGGGUGAUCGGCCACACUGGGACUGAGACACGGCCCAGACUCCUACGGGAGGCAGCAGUGGGGAAUAUUGGGCAAUGGGCGAAAGUCUGACCGAGCAAUGCCGCGUGUGUGAAGAAGGUUUUCGGAUUGUAAAGCUCUGUUAUUAGGAGAACGUUAUCUAAACAAAAAGCAACGGCUAACUACGUGCCAGCAGCCGCGGUAAUUC
rnacentral:rRNA from 1 species